AGACUUCCCAUUUCCCAAUAUAAAUACAAACAGCACGGGUGCAGUGGCUCAAAUUGGGGAGAUAUGCUCGGAAGAGGCUCCGGCGACAGGGACGGUUUCUAGGCACUGGGUGAAAAUCGGCACGUAUCUUGGCAGGGCAACCCGAAUGAUGUUGCAGCUUUGGCGGAGUCCGAUCCCCUUUGUCCGAUUCUUAUAUUUGCAGAUCUGAGCCUCAUACCAAACUAAACGACCCUACUAGGAUUUUUGGAAUGGUAGUAGGAUUUAUACUGUGUUCAAGAAUCCUUUUGUAGACCUGAGCAUAUAAUCCGAAUUAAUCUGUAAACAAUUCCACUCACAGAAAUGAGGCUGAUUGGGGAUAAAGAUGAUGGUUUCUAAGGGUGGUUGCCCCCCUCUGUUCAUACCAAAGUCUGAUUUUGACUAUUUCGUCAAACAUCAUUCUUUGUAGCCGAUGAUUUUCUCCAGAAAUCAACAACCCUUGCAUAUUUUGUCCUUAGGUUUGUUAAAAAUAACACUUUUCGUCCCAACAGUUCGUUUGAUAGAAAAAAAAACAUGAGUGUCUGUAACAGAGCUAUCUCUAACAGAUUCCAAGAGGCUGUGAUGAUGAAUCUGUAUGCAUCUGAGUGGAUUUGAUCAAAGUUAAGAGAUUA